rnacentral:rRNA from 1 species
AUUGAACGCUGGCGGCAGGCCUAACACAUGCAAGUCGAACGGUAACAGGAAGAAGCUUGCUUCUUUGCUGACGAGUGGCGGACGGGUGAGUAAUGUCUGGGAAACUGCCUGAUGGAGGGGGAUAACUACUGGAAACGGUAGCUAAUACCGCAUAACGUCGCAAGACCAAAAAGGGGGACCUUCGGGCCUCUUGCCAUCGGAUGUGCCCAGAUGGGAUUAGCUAGUAGGUGGGGUAACGGCUCACCUAGGCGACGAUCCCUAGCUGGUCUGAGAGGAUGACCAGCCAUACGGGGGCUGAGACACGGGCCGGACGCCUACGGGGGGCAGCCGUGGGGAGUAUUGGACGAGGGGGGCAUGGCUGAUGAAGCCAGGCCGCGGGUAUGAAGAAGGCCUUCUGGGUGUAAAGUACUUUUGGCGGUGAGGAAAGGAGAAAAGUGAAUACCUUUUCUCACUGCCGUUUCGCGCAGAGGAAGCCCCGCCUGUCUCCU